rnacentral:lncRNA from 1 species
AUGUACAUCCAGUCUGAACUCAAGGUGGUGUUACUGCCAAGCACGCGUCUCUUUCAGCAGGUCCCAGGUCUGUUUAUACCAGAGCACUGUUCCAGCUCAGUGAACCUAAGCACAACCUUCUGUUUCUCUGUGACAUCGUCAGUGACAGAAGGAGCAACUUCUAAGAAUGCAAGAAGGAUUUACCACUGCUGUGCAGGUGCAAGCUCCGCUCUGCUUCCAAACAAAAUAUUUCCUAAAACAACAUUCAGGAAAAGCGAUCUCAGAGAAGCAGCAAGAGAAGAAAUCUAUGAGCUCAAUGGUUUCAAAUUUGACUUAGAACUACUUCAGGAAUGACUGACAGCAGUAAGUCACCUAUUACAAAGCCUGAUACAACAACUCAGAAAUUCAUCAAAAUGCAAAAUGCCCAGCAGAAAAACAAAUCCAAAAAAAAGAGGUUCCAAAUAGCAACUGAGAGGAGCCCCAGAUGGCUGAUGUUGGCAGGGAAAUGCAAAAGGUAUAUGUACUGUGGAAUUAAAGGAUAAGCACGCUGGCAGCAUCACAUGACCUGUGUUUUAAAGGUCUAAAGACUACCUGUCAUUCCAACUAGAAACUUCUCAUUUAUUGAUUAGAAGAGUUAACUGAUUUUCUUUAAGGGAAUGAUUCACGUUUUUGUUUUGCUGGGCACCAACCGGAAAAUCCUUCUUCUCUCCCAUGUGGAUAGCGG